CCAAUAGCGUAUAUUAAAGUUGUUGCAGUUAAAAAGCUCGUAGCUGAACUUCGGGGUUUACCCAUUGGUCAGGCUUAAUUGUCUGUACUGGUGAGAUGAAUCUCUACCUUCUGAGGAACUUUCAUGCCAUUUAUUUGGUGUGAUGGGAAAUCAGGGCUGUUACUUUGAAAAAAUUAGAGUGUUUAAAGCAGGCUAACGUCUGAAUACAUUAGCAUGGAAUAAUGAAAUAGGACGGAUUGAUUCUAUUUCGUUGGUUUCUAGGAUCACCGUAAUGAUUAAUAGGGAUAGUUGGGGGCAUUAGUAUUCAAUUGUCAGAGGUGAAAUUCUUGGAUUUAUUGAAGACUAACUACUGCGAAAGCAUUUGCCAAGGAUGUUUUCAUUAAUCAAGAACGAAAGUUAGGGGAUCGAAGACGAUCAGAUACCGUCGUAGUCUUAACCAUAAACUAUGCCGACUAGGGAUCGGACGAAGUUAAUUUUAUAAUGACGCGUUCGGCACCUUACG
rnacentral:rRNA from 1 species